rnacentral:rRNA from 1 species
AUGCAAGUCGUACGAGAGUUUUUAACUCUAGUGGCGGACGGGUGAGUAACACGUGAGAAUUUGCCUUUAGGAGGGGGAUAACAAUUGGAAACAAAUGCUAAUACCCCAUAUGCUUUAGAGUGAAAUGGAUUUAUAUUUAUCCGCCUAGAGAGAAGCUCGCGGCUGAUUAGCUUGUUGGUGAGGUAAGAGCUUACCAAGGCGACGAUCAGUAUCUGGUUUGAGAGGACGAUCAGACACACUGGAACUGAGACACGGUCCAGACUCCUACGGGAGGCAGCAGUGGGGAAUUUUCCGCAAUGGGCGAAAGCCUGACGGAGCAAUACCGCGUGAGGGAAGACUGCCUAUGGGUUGUAAACCUCUUUUUUCAGGGAGGAAUCAUUGACGUGUACCUGAAGAAUAAGCAUCGGCUAACUCCGUGCCAGCAGCCGCGGUAAGACGGAGGAUGCAAGUGUUAUCCGGAAUCACUGGGCGUAAAGCGUCUGUAGGUGGUUUAAUAAGUCAACUGUUAAAUCUUGAGGCUUAACUUCAAAAUCGCAGUCGAAACUAUUAGACUAGAGUAUAGUAGGGGUAAAGGGAAUUUCCAGUGGAGCGGUGAAAUGCGUAGAUAUUGGAAAGAACACCGAUGGCGAAAGCACUUUACUGGGCUAUUACUAACACUCAGAGACGAAAGCUAGGGUAGCAAAUGGGAUUAGAUACCCCAGUAGUCCUAGCCGUAAACAAUGGAUACUAGAUGUUGAACAGAUCGACCUGUGCAGUAUCAAAGCUAACGCGUUAAGUAU